rnacentral:rRNA from 1 species
GGUUUCGAGCUAGGCCUCUGGGUCACCUCCCACCCGUGUUUAUUUUACCUUGUUGCUUCGGCGAGCCUGCCUUUUGGCUGCCGGGGGACGUCUGUCCCCGGGUCCGCGCUCGCCGAAGACACCUUAGAACUCUGUCUGAAGAUUGUAGUCUGAGAUUAAAUAUAAAUUAUUUAAAACUUUCAACAACGGAUCUCUUGGUUCCGGCAUCGAUGAAGAACGCAGCGAAAUGCGAUACGUAAUGUGAAUUGCAGAAUUCAGUGAAUCAUCGAGUCUUUGAACGCACAUUGCGCCCUCUGGUAUUCCGGAGGGCAUGCCUGUCCGAGCGUCAUUGCUGCCCUCAAGCACGGCUUGUGUGUUGGGCUCCGUCCUCCUUCCGGGGGACGGGCCCGAAAGGCAGCGGCGGCACCGCGUCCGGUCCUCAAGCGUAUGGGGCUUUGUCACCCGCUUUGUAGGACUGGCCGGCGCCUGCCGAUCAACCAAACUUUUUUCCAGGUUGACCUCGGAUCAGGUAGGGAUACCCGCUGAACUUAAGCAUAUCAAUAAGCGGAGGAA